rnacentral:rRNA from 1 species
GACGAACGCUGGCGGCGUGCUUAACACAUGCAAGUCGAACGGAAAGGCCCCUUCGGGGGUACUCGAGGGGCGAACGGGGGAGGAACACGGGAGUAACCUGCCCUUGACUUCGGGAUAACGGCAGGAAACUGGGGCUAAUACCGGAAAGGAAGCCUUGCUGCAUGGGGGGGGUUGGAAAGCUUCGGCGGUUUUGGAUGGACUCGCGGCCUAUCAGCGUGUUGGUGGGGUAGUGGCUUACCGAGGCUUUGGCGGGUAGCCGGCCUGAGAGGGCGACCGGCCACCUUGGGACUGACAGUCGGCCCCGGCUCCUACGGGUGGCCGCUGUGGGGAAUCUUGCACCAUGGGCGGCAGCCUGAUGCAGCAGCGCCGCGUGCGGGAUGACGGCCUUCGGGUUGUAAACCGCUUUCAGCAGGGGCGCCGCUUGUGGUGACGGUACCUGCAGAAGAAGCACCGGCUAACUACGUG